CCUACGGGAGGCAGCAGUGAGGAAUAUUGGUCAAUGGCCGUAAGGCUGAACCAGCCAAGUCGCGUGAAGGAAGAAUGAUCUAUGGUUUGUAAACUUCUUUUAUAGGGGAAUAAAGGUAUCCACGUGUGGCUUUUUGCAUGUACUCUAUGAAUAAGCAUCGGCUAACUCCGUGCCAGCAGCCGCGGUAAUACGGAGGAUCCGAGCGUUAUCCGGAUUUAUUGGGUUUAAAGGGUGCGUAGGUGGGUUGUUAAGUCAGCGGUGAAAGUUUGUGGCUCAACCAUAAAAUUGCAGUUGAUACUGGAAGACUUGAGUAUGUUUGAGGUAGGCGGAAUUCGUGGUGUAGCGGUGAAAUGCAUAGAUAUCACGAAGAACUCCGAUUGCGAAGGCAGCUUACUAAGCUACAACUGACACUGAAGCACGAAAGCGUGGGUAUCAAACAGGAUUAGAUACCCGUGUAGUC
rnacentral:rRNA from 1 species